rnacentral:rRNA from 1 species
GAUGAACGCUGGCGGCGUGCCUAAUACAUGCAAGUCGAGCGAACAGACGAGGAGCUUGCUCCUCUGACGUUAGCGGCGGACGGGUGAGUAACACGUGGAUAACCUACCUAUAAGACUGGGAUAACUUCGGGAAACCGGAGCUAAUACCGGAUAAUAUAUUGAACCGCAUGGUUCAAUAGUGAAAGACGGUUUUGCUGUCACUUAUAGAUGGAUCCGCGCCGCAUUAGCUAGUUGGUAAGGUAACGGCUUACCAAGGCGACGAUGCGUAGCCGACCUGAGAGGGUGAUCGGCCACACUGGAACUGGGACACGGUCCAGACUCCUACGGGAGGCAGCAGUAGGGAAUCUUCCGCAAUGGGCGAAAGCCUGACGGAGCAACGCCGCGUGAGUGAUGAAGGUCUUCGGAUCGUAAAACUCUGUUAUUAGGGAAGAACAAAUGUGUAAGUAACUAUGCACGUCUUGAUGGUACCUAAUCAGAAAGCCACGGCUAACUACGUG